rnacentral:rRNA from 1 species
AUUGAACGCUGGCGGCAGGCCUAACACAUGCAAGUCGAGCGGAUGAAGGGAGCUUGCUCCUGGAUUCAGCGGCGGACGGGUGAGUAAUGCCUAGGAAUCUGCCUGGUAGUGGGGGAUAACGUCCGGAGACGGGCGCUAAUACCGCAUACGUCCUGAGGGAGAAAGUGGGGGAUCUUCGGACCUCACGCUAUCAGAUGAGCCUAGGUCGGAUUAGCUAGUUGGUGGGGUAAAGGCCUACCAAGGCGACGAUCCGUAACUGGUCUCAGAGGAUGAUCAGUCACACUGGAACUGAGACACGGUCCAGACUCCUACGGGGGGCAGCAGUGGGGAAUAUUGGACAAUGAGCGAAAGCCUGAUCCAGCCAUGCCGCGUGUGUGAAGAAGGUCUUCGGAUUGUAAAGCACUUUAAGUUGGGAGGAAGGGCAGGAAGUUAAUACCUUGCUGAUUUGACGUUACCAACAGAAUAAGCACCGGCUAACUUCGUG